UACGGAGGGUGCAAGCGUUAUCCGGAUUCACUGGGUUUAAAGGGUGCGUAGGUGGGCAGGUAAGUCAGUGGUGAAAUCUUUGGGCUUAACCCGAAAACUGCCAUUGAUACUAUCUGUCUUGAAUACCGUGGAGGUGAGCGGAAUAUGUCAUGUAGCGGUGAAAUGCUUAGAUAUGACAUAGAACACCAAUUGCGAAGGCAGCUCGCUACACGAAUAUUGACUCUGAGGCACGAAAGCGUGGGGAUCAAACAGG
rnacentral:rRNA from 1 species